UACAGAGGUCUCAAGCGUUGUUCGGAUUCAUUGGGCGUAAAGGGUGCGUAGGUGGCGCGGUAAGUCGGGUGUGAAAUCUCGGAGCUUAACUCCGAAAUUGCAUUCGAUACUGCCGUGCUCGAGGACUGGAGAGGAGACUGGAAUUCAUGGUGUAGCAGUGAAAUGCGUAGAGAUCAUGAGGAAGACCAGUGGCGAAGGCGGGUCACUGGACCACAACUGACGCUGAGGCGCGAAAGCUAGGGGAGCAAACAGG
rnacentral:rRNA from 1 species